CCUACGGGAGGCAGCAGUAGGGAAUAUUGCACAAUGGGGGAAACCCUGAUGCAGCGACGCCGCGUGGGGGAUGAAGGUUUUCGGAUUGUAAACUCCUAUUGUUAGGGAAGAUAAUGACGGUAUCUAACGGAUAAGCACCGGCUAACUCCGUGCCAGCAGCCGCGGUAAUACGGAGGGUGCAAGCGUUACACGGAAUCACUGGGCGUAAAGGGCGCGUAGGCGGGAUAGCAAGUCAGAUGUGAAAUGCUAUGGCUUAACCAUAGAACUGCAUUUGACACUGUAAUUCUAGAGUAUGGGAGAGGUAGGUGGAAUUCUUGGUGUAGGGGUAAAAUCCGUAGAGAUCAAGAGGAAUACUCAUGGCGAAGGCGACCUGCUAGAACAUAACUGACGCUGAUGCGCGAAAGCGUGGGGAGCAAACAGGAUUAGAUACCCUUGUAGUC
rnacentral:rRNA from 1 species